CAGUGAGUUUAGAAAUCACUGGAGCGCUGCAAGCCACAAGGACAGAGUUAACCGCACCAAUCCCACAACAUCCUCUUCCUGGAAAUGGCCCUUCUGUAUCCCACUUCCUCUUUCUACUGCCUAUAAUUAGAAACAAGUGUACAAGAAGAGAGAAGUAGCGGAUGUACUGCUUUCUAGAAGGGCUGUGCUCAAGGAACAGGAAAUACAUGGCAUUGUCUUUGUUCCGAGCUGGAAGGGUGACACUGAAGAUCAAGUCCUGUGGCUGAAAAUGAGAUCUGGUUCAUGGAGCUUCUAUCCUGGUUGGAAAGUUGGCAGGUUUUGAUUCACCAAGCACACAACAAACUGAUGGAUGUGAUAAGCUGGGUAGAAGAUAUGACAUCACAACAACUUUCAGGCUAUCAAACUGAAAACCAGCAGAGAUAAGAACUGUUCUAGGCAAUAGCUGCAAAAUUAAAUCAGUACAAGUGUGAUCAGUCACUACCACCUUGACUUAAACAACUGACUACCUACUUUGUUUUAGUGCUCUUCACAUUUUUGACCCAAAUCAGGUGUAUUUUCUGAGUUUUGACCCUCAGCUAAUUAAAUCAAUCCUUGGAUUCCUGAAAGAGCAUGACAAUGAAUGCUCUGCUUAUAUGAAUUUGCCAAAGCAUGCCAAAUGCCUUUGAAUGUAACUGAAUUUUGGGAUUCUGUUUCUGAUUGUUUCCCACAUCUCGACAACUUGGCAAAAUGCUGCCUUACAACUACAACCAGUUCAGUGGAUGCAGAAAAUGCGAUCUUAAUGAUUGGAAAAAUCUUCACAUCACAGAGACAGAGGAUGUCAGCUGCAACUGAUGGCGGAUGCUGCAUGCUAGCAUUUAACAACUAAAAUGAAUUAUUUCUAUUAAGCGGUUUGGACUCAUGCCAGAUGCAGAAGUCAUGACAGCACUGCUGUGGAGGAGGUUUUGCCGGCAACCACCAACAGAGUGCACCUUGGCCUUGUUGGCCUUUGAGCCAGAAGUGGUGAAUCACCCGGUAAGAGAUGCAAUCCAGCAAGUAGUGCAGCUUUUACCCAUUUUGCAGAAGCCAAAGCUUACCAAGCCAAUUAAAACUGCCAAGGCCAUGGCAGUGGCCUCAGUGAAAGAUAAACCUGCUGACCCCCCUGAAUUGUUGAGAAAAGCCGAGAAAGACCGGCUCAAGACUCCGCAAGAAAAAAUAUAGAAAGACUUGUUAGCUGCCUGUUAUAAUAAAGUGCAAAUCAAUAGACUGCCCAUCAAUGCCUUGCAAGGGCUGAGGGCUAAACACUGUACCAAAAGGGCAAGACCAAAAGCAGAGCCUUCUGCACCACCAACUGUGUCACCGGAGAGAUUCUCUGCCCUGAUAGCAAAACUGUCAACAUUUUCCUAGGCACAUGCGGGGCCACCAGCUUUUACCCACAUGGCCUAAGGAGUCCCGCCAGCCCAACCCCCAAAGAAAGGAGCCAUAAUGGGGGUAGUAGCAGGCCGAGUACCGGUAUCUAAAGUUAAUAUUAGUCCCUUAAUUUGGAUACCUGUACAGAUUCAAUUAAGUAAAAGUGAAAAGUCAAUUGAUAUGCUAUUAAGCACAGGUGCCCAGAUUUGCAUUUUAGAUUCCGCAGAUUGGAAAGAGGAGAAAGGAACCCCUUAUCAAGUAAUUGGAGUCGGAAGCACCAGAUGACCAGGACAUCUAGUCCGAGCAACCUUCACGUUACCCAAUGGCUCUAAGGGCGUGUCUACUAUCCUUCUUAUUACCCAGAUAUUAAUGAACUUGAUCCUGAAGACCUCAAAGAGUGGCCUGACCCUGAAGAGCAUCCCCCGGAAAUGCGUUCAAAUGGCCUUCAUGUGGUCCAGCUGCAGUAUCCAUACUGGAAGAAACCUGCCACCCCGGAGCAAGUGAAGUCCUGGUUUCUGAGUAUAAGAAACAGGAUAGUUAACUGGCAAGGUGGUAACUGUCAGUGCACCUGUGGCACCAGUUAUUAUCUUGGGUUCAUUCCCUACCUGAAGGCUGGAAUGACUAACUGUGGGAGGUGAUUGUGGUAGAUCUGCUUAUUUGAGAGUUUGUUGUUACAUACUUCCUGAGGGAAACCCCGAUGAGCUCAACGCCCCUGAGUUUGUGUCCUCAAUAAUGCAUUUUGCAUCUGUUCAGCCUCUUGAGCCAUUGCGUUUAUGGAAGAAUCUGCCCCCUCCCAUUCCUAUGGCUGACAACACUCUCCAAUGAUUGUGUGAGGCCCACCAGGUAGGAAAGCGCACUACAAGUUAGAACAAAGUUAUUACAUAGUUUGUAAAUCAUACCUACACAGAGGCAUGGUAAAAUGGUACCCACUUCAAUACAACCAAAAGGAAACUGUAUCCGCAAGUCUCCAACACUUAUCCUCAUCCUUUUAUACCAGUAAAGUUCCUAAAGCAAAUUAGUGCAAUGAUUCUGCCAGAACAAUGCUGUUUCGUUAAUCUGAUACAGCAUCGUCCCCAUGAGCGACAGUGGGAGCUCUUUCACUCUCUGGGAGGUGAAGCAUAGUUACAGGCUCCCAAAGAAGGAAGGAUAAAUGUGAUCUGUAAGAAAACGGGGUGUUCACUACUAUCUCUGGCCAUUCCCCCACGGGAGGCCCUGACACUGCCCGUGUAUAACUCCACACCCUGAAGGUCACAAGUUAAAAUACCAACCCUCCUAAAUGCUUUGUUGUUCACUGCCUAAAUCCUAGUGCAGGGAGUAAAAGAUGAAAACUAGACCACUGCUUAUUUAAUAAACAUGGGGCUAAGCAGAGAAUGCCUUUGCAACUAGAAUCUGCAUCACCCCAUAUGGGAAAUAGUUACCCCCGAUGGCCCUCAGCAUGUAGCACAGACCCCCUUAGUUCAAAUUAGUAGCACCUUGAUUGGAUUAGAGACCCUAUAGAGAGGCUGGCCUCCCAGCCCACCUAACAUGACCUGCAUGUACGAGUUACCUAAUGUGUCAUAUGUAACAAUAGGACAACAUGUUUGUUAGGAAGGACCGGGUCAUUUGCUGCAUAAAAAUGGUACCACCUGGACUUUAUGCAAUUCAUGUUGCUUAAGAGCUAAAAGUAGAGCCGUUGCUCUACUGCAAUUAAGUAACCAUACUUUUGCCCUAAAAUAGCCAAAAAUUUCCUCUGAGACUAUACCUCUCAACUUUACGAUACCUACUUCAUGGGUAUCAGAUGUAGACAUGUCAUGGUUAGAAAACUGAAAUGAAGUGAAAAAUAAGCUGCAAAGCCUUGAGGCAAAGGCUCGACAAAGCACUUAGUUGGCUCUCCUUGCUCAAGAGGGUGGGUGAAUCAUCAGUCUAGCUGUCAAUGUGCCUGAGCCUUGUAAAUGGUAAGAUGUAAUCUGUACUAUUCGUGUGUCACCAAGUGUCACCUCAGCUACGUGGCUAACCAUCUUAAGCAUCAUAGUAUUUUGCAUUGCCCUAGUGGCAACAGCUAAAUGGUGUUUUAAUCGUUGUUGUUGUAAAUCUGUUCAUGCUAUGCAAGUUAAAUUUAUAGAUUCCUCCUCAUUUCCCGAUGUAGCGCAUAUGGCUUUAGCAUUUCAAUUAUAGCCAUCGUAGUGCUUCAGCAAGCAAGGAGUAGAGUGUGACAGCUGAAAAGUGUGCCUGUGUAAUAAAGGUGCUUGCUGAAGGCCCUAUGAAGAUUAGACAAAGUGUCUUUCUGUAUUUGUUUAGAUAUUAAGUUAUAUGUUGUUGCUAAAAGCCUAAUUAAAGUUUAAGAUGUAGUGACGCCUUGUAUAAAGUAAGGCCUAGUAAAUUUAGCGAAGCCUUGAAGUAGUAACGCCCUGUGGCGUAGUUAAAAUUACUUUAUCAAAAGAAUGCAAGGCUUGUACUGCUAUUGGUCAGUCUAAGGACAGUUGAAGUAAAAGGAAUCUGAGUGGCUGUAUGUUAUCAGAACCAUUCAGAAGCUUUAAAUUGGCUGGAAUAUCUGGAAACCAUUCAGAAGGAAGAUACAGCUCUGUGAAAAGGAUCAGUUAGCUGUUGCCUGGAUCAGUGAGCCCGUGGACCUCGAGGAGCCCAAGGACUGCAUUUCAGGGUCCUUCCCGGUACCCUUCGGACAGUGUUGUUCAGGGAUGCCCGACUUCGCUGAACUUUGUGAAAAGAGAAGCUUGCUGUGUAUCAGGCAUCAGAGGGGACUGCCGAUAAGUUGCCGACUUGAAUUGCUUUUGUCUGUCAUUGUUUGUCUUGUUACUACGUGUAGUUGUGUUUUUGUUAAGUCAAUAAAUCUUUCUUACCUUUUUA